rnacentral:rRNA from 1 species
UGGAUCAGUGGCGAACGGGUGAGUAACACGUGAGCAAUCUGCCCCUGACUCUGGGAUAAGCGCUGGAAACGGCGUCUAAUACCGGAUACGAGCUGCGAAGGCAUCUUCAGCAGCUGGAAAGAAUUUCGGUCAGGGAUGAGCUCGCGGCCUAUCAGCUUGUUGGUGAGGUAACGGCUCACCAAGGCGUCGACGGGUAGCCGGCCUGAGAGGGUGACCGGCCACACUGGGACUGAGACACGGCCCAGACUCCUACGGGAGGCAGCAGUGGGGAAUAUUGCACAAUGGGCGAAAGCCUGAUGCAGCAACGCCGCGUGAGGGACGACGGCCUUCGGGUUGUAAACCUCUUUUAGCAGGAAAGAAGCGAAAGUGACGGUACCUGCAGAAAAAGCGCCGGCUAACUACGUGCCAGCAGCCGCGGUAAUACGUAGGGCGCAAGCGUUAUCCGGAAUUAUUGGGCGUAAAGAGCUCGUAGGCGGUCUGUCGCGUCUGCUGUGAAAACCCGAGGCUCAACCUCGGGCCUGCAGUGGGUACGGGCAGACUAGAGUGCGGUAGGGGAGAUUGGAAUUCCUGGUGUAGCGGUG